rnacentral:lncRNA from 1 species
UGUAAAUAUCAUUGUCAGGUCUUCCAGCUGUCAUUGUCAUAAUUAAUCUAGGAAUCAACAAGACAGACAACUACAUCAAAUUUUCAAAAAUGUUCAAGUACUGGUAAUACUGGAUAUGACACAAGAGAAAUGGACUGGGAAUAACACAGGAGAAAUGAACGCAAGAAUCUCGUCAUGGUUUUUAUCAUAAAACUAAAUUUUCUUCUUAUAUUGAUUAUCAAACUAUAAAGGAUAUAUACAUAAAAAAUCAAGUUUCAAUAAUAGAACUUUUUCAAGGCAUUUAACUGAACAAUUAAAGUUUUAAUUUGUGAAUUAAAUUACAUCAUACAACCUCAUGUGAAGUCUUCACCUUCAUAUUGGGUAACAAGAUAUUAGUGUCAGUUUCUAUGAUAUUGCAGUCAGUUUGUACGAUGUCUUGGUCGGUUUCUACAACGACUGCGUCGGUUUGUAUAAUGUUUCGGUUGGCUUCUAUGAUGUGUGGGUCAGUUUGUAUGCUGUUUCUGCCUGUUCUGAUAAUGUCCAAUUCGGUUUUAGUCAAUCAUAAGCCACUGACACAUUCAUGCCAGUGAGAUAGCAUUCUAUGCAAAAGCAUGUUUGACAAUGCUAUGUUUUACUUGUACCCUAGUCGAGAGAUGUAUUUAAAAAAACAGCCAAAUAGGCCUUAAAUGAAUCCCCCACCCCAAUCUCUCUUUUUUCUUUGGAUUUUGCAUAAUCGAAUGAAUUCCUAAGUGUAAAAUACAAAUUCGCAAAAAUUUUCUGAAAAUUCAGAAAAAUAAAAAAAUUAUGAGGGAUUAUAUAUCAUGUGUAAAGUAGAAGUUGAUUUAUUUACAAUUUCAUAUUAAAACACAUUACCUGCUCCGUCA